UGCUUACACAUGCAAGUCGAACGAUGAACCACCUUCGGGUGGGGAUUAGUGGCGAACGGGUGAGUAACACGUGGGCAAUCUGCCCUGCACUCUGGGACAAGCCCUGGAAACGGGGUCUAAUACCGGAUACUGACCUGCCAAGGCAUCUUGGCGGGUCGAAAGCUCCGGCGGUGCAGGAUGAGCCCGCGGCCUAUCAGCUUGUUGGUGAGGUAAUGGCUCACCAAGGCGACGACGGGUAGCCGGCCUGAGAGGGCGACCGGCCACACUGGGACUGAGACACGGCCCAGACUCCUACGGGAGGCAGCAGUGGGGAAUAUUGCACAAUGGGCGAAAGCCUGAUGCAGCGACGCCGCGUGAGGGAUGACGGCCUUCGGGUUGUAAACCUCUUUCAGCAGGGAAGAAGCGAAAGUGACGGUACCUGCAGAAGAAGCGCCGGCUAACUACGUGCCAGCAGCCGCGGUAAUACGUAGGGCGCAAGCGUUGUCCGGAAUUAUUGGGCGUAAAGAGCUCGUAGGCGGCUUGUCGCGUCGGUUGUGAAAGCCCGGGGCUUAACCCCGGGUCUGCAGUCGAUACGGGCAGGCUAGAGUUCGGUAGGGGAGAUCGGAAUUCCUGGUGUAGCGGUGAAAUGCGCAGAUAUCAGGAGGAACACCGGUGGCGAAGGCGGAUCUCUGGGCCGAUACUGACGCUGAGGAGCGAAAGCGUGGGGAGCGAACAGGAUUAGAUACCCUGGUAGUCCACGCCGUAAACGGUGGGCACUAGGUGUGGGCAACAUUCCACGUUGUCCGUGCCGCAGCUAAC
rnacentral:rRNA from 1 species